rnacentral:rRNA from 1 species
UACGUAGGGAGCGAGCGUUGUCCGGAUUCAUUGGGCGUAAAGAGCUCGUAGGCGGCUUGGCAAGUCGGGUGUGAAAACUCCAGCUCAACCUGGAGACGCCACCCGAUACUGCCAUGGCUAGAGUCCGGUAGGGGACCACGGAAUUCCUGGUGUAGCGGUGAAAUGCGCAGAAUAUCAGGAGGAACACCGGUGGCGAAGGCGGUGGUCUGGGCCGGAACUGACGCUGAGGAGCGAAAGCGUGGGGAGCGAACGG